rnacentral:rRNA from 1 species
ACGCACGCUGGCGGCAUGCCUAACACCUGCCAGUCGCACGAGACCUUCGGGUCUAGUGGCGCACGGGUGCGUAACGCGUGGGAACCUGCCCUUAGGUUCGGAAUAACUCCCCGAAAGGGGUGCUAAUACCGGAUAAUGUCUUCGGACCAAAGAUUUAUCGCCUUUGGAUGGGCCCGCGUUGGAUUAGCUAGUUGGUAGGGUAAAAGCCUACCAAGGCGACGAUCCAUAGCUGGUCUGAGAGGAUGAUCAGCCACACUGGGACUGAGACACGGCCCAGACUCCUACGGGAGGCAGCAGUGGGGAAUAUUGGACAAUGGGCGAAAGCCUGAUCCAGCAAUGCCGCGUGAGCGAUGAAGGCCUUAGGGUUGUAAAGCUCUUUUACCCGGGAUGAUAAUGACAGUACCGGGAGAAUAAGCUCCGGCUAACUCCGUG